GAUGAAGAACGCAGCGAAAUGCGAUAAGUAAUGUGAAUUGCAGAAUUCAGUGAAUCAUCGAAUCUUUGAACGCACAUUGCGCCCGCUAGUAUUCUGGCGGGCAUGCCUGUCCGAGCGUCAUUUCAACCCUCAAGCCCCCGGGCUUGGUGUUGGGGAUCGGCGAGCCUCCGCGCCCGCCGUCCCCUAAAUCUAGUGGCGGUCUCGCUGUAGCUUCCUCUGCGUAGUAGCACACCUCGCACUGGGAAACAGCGCGGCCACGCCGUUAAACCCCCAACUUCUGAACGUUUGACCUCGGAUCAGGUAGGAAUACCCGCUGAACUUAAGUAUAUCAAUAAGCGGAGGA
rnacentral:misc_RNA from 1 species